rnacentral:rRNA from 1 species
GGCUGAAAUUCGCCUUCAUGAAGUCGGAAUUGCUAGUAAUGGCAGGUCAGCAUACUGCCGUGAAUACGUUCCCGGGCCUUGUACACACCGCCCGCCACACCAUGAGAGUUGGAGAUACCCGAAGCCUGUGAGCUAACAGAAAUGGAGCAGCAGUCGAAGGUAGAAUCAAUGAUUGGGGUGAAGUCGUAACAAGGUACC